GACAGCCUGAGACCUCCUGGAGGCAAAAUUGUCACUUGCAGUUUCCUUAAAUCUGAGGUGUGCAAAGACAGUGCGUUUGGUGGGGGGAGCCCGGCCCCAGCGCGCUGCCUGGAGCCGGAGACCCACCCCAUCGUCCUCUCGCCUCCCGUUGGGCACCAGGGCUGGAUGGGAGCUCUUCCCAGCACCCGCCGUUGUCUGUGCAUUGGGAUGGCAGUUUCUAGGGUGACCACGAGGAGGCAGACGGCAGUUAGCUUUCACUCAGGGCUCCCUACAAGGUCUCCACUGCCAAGAACGGAUGAGCAUGCACAGAGACAGAUCGUGAUGGGUAAUUGGAGGUGUCGACUCGGCUGAGCUAAGGGCUGACAUAAGAGGAAGGUUCUCGGGCCUUGGACCUCAGACUGAAGGACCCCACGGGCUUUCCUUGUUCUCCAGCCUGCAGAUGGCAGAGGCCUCAUGAGCCAAGUCCUGGAAUAAAGCUCUCCUCUAUGUCUGUAUGGAUCCUGUAAGUUCCCGCUUUCUCUGCAGAACCCUAACACAGACGGUACCACCAAUAUCAACGGAGUUGGUGGAAAUAGUGAAAUGUGGAGCUGGGAGGCCCCUGGGUGGUCAGUCAGUGGAGCGGCCAACUCUUGAUUUCUGCUCAGGUCAUGAUC